GGCUGGGUAGCUCAGUUGGUAGAGCGUCCGCCUGAAAAGCGGAAGGUCACCGGAUCGAUGCCGGUCCCAGCCA
rnacentral:tRNA from 1 species